UACGUAGGGUGCGAGCGUUUAAUCGGAAUUACUGGGCGUAAAGCGUGCGCAGGCGGCGCGUUAAGACAGGUGUGAAAGCCCCGAGCUUAACUUGGGAAUUGCGCUUGUGACUGGCGUGCUGGAGUGUGGCAGAGGGAGGUGGAAUUCCACGAUGUAGCAGUGAAAUGACGUAGAGAUGUGGAGGAACACCGAUGGCGAAGGCAGCCUCCUGGGCCAGCACUGACGCUCAUGCACGAAAGCGUGGGGAGCAAACAGG
rnacentral:rRNA from 1 species